rnacentral:rRNA from 1 species
GCUACGGGGAGCUGCAGUGAGGAAUAUUGGUCAAUGGACGCAAGUCUGAACCAGCCAUGCCGCGUGCAGGAUGACGGCUCUAUGAGUUGUAAACUGCUUUUGUACGAGGGUAAACCCCGAUACGUGUAUCGGGUUGAAAGUAUCGUACGAAUAAGGAUCGGCUAACUCCGUGCCAGCAGCCGCGGUAAUACGGAGGAUCCGAGCGUUAUCCGGAUUUAUUGGGGUUAAAGGGUGCGUAGGCGGUUUGAUAAGUUAGAGGUGUAAGGUCGUGGCUCAACCCCGAAACUGACUAGAAAACUGUUUGACUAGAGAAUAGUUGCGGUAGGCGGAAUGUGUGGUGUAGCGGUGAAAUGCUUAGAGAGCAUACAGAACACCGAUUGCGAAGGCAGCUUACCAAACUAUAUCUGACGUUGAGGCACGAAAGCGUGGGUAGCAAACAGGAUUAGAUACCCUUGUAGUC